rnacentral:rRNA from 1 species
GACGAACGCUGGCGGCGUGCCUAACACAUGCAAGUCGAACGGACAGGCGCUGAGCUUGUGCCGCGGUCGAGAGGGGAGGGCGGGUGUGAAACGUGUGUAACCCCCCCUUGAAUUUGGGGUAACAUCACGGAACUGGGGCUAAUACAGGAUAGGAGCUACUGAACCAUGGUGGGCGUUGGAUAAUUACGGCCGUUGGGGCUGGUGUCGCGGCUUAUCAGCUUGUUGGGGUGGUAGUUGCGUACCAGGCUUUAGACGGCUAGCCUGCCUGAGAGGCGGACCGGCCACAUGGGUACUGAGGGACGGCCCAGACGCCUACCUGAGGCAGCAGUCGGGAAUAUUGCACAGUGGGCGGAAGCCUGAUGCAGCAACGCCGCGUGCGGGAUGACGGGCUUCGGGUUGAAAACCACUGUCUCCUUUGACGUAGCGUGAGUGACGGUACUGAGUCAAGAAGCACCGGCUAACUACGUG